GGCGAUCGGUUCGGCCGCGAGCGGCUGCCGGUCGCGGGCCGGCUCCGAGGUCGGCUCGCGCUCGGCCGGCGGCGUUGUACCCGCCGGAUCGUCA
rnacentral:tRNA from 1 species